AGAUUUUGCUCCUGCCUCAGGAUGAACGCUAGCGACAGGCCUAACACUUGCAAGUCGAGGGGCAUCGCGGGAGAAGCUUGCUUUUCCUGGCGGCGACCGGCGCACGGGUGCGUAACAGGUGUGCAAUCUGUCCAUAGUCGGGGGAUACCCCACCGAAAGCUGAAUUAACACUCCAUGUGAAUCGAAGCCGCAUGACUUUGAUUUGAAACGCGAGGACUAUGGGUGACCACGCUUCUGAUUAGGUAGUUGGUGGGGUAACGGCCCACCAAGCCGACGAUCUGUAGGGGUUCUGAGAGGAAGGUCCCCCACUUUGAAACUGACACACGGUCCAAACUCCUACGGGAGGCAGCAGUGAGGAAUAUUGGUCAAUGGGCGAGAGCCUGAACCACCCAAGUCGCGUGAAGGAUGAAGGUUCUAUGGAUUGUAAACUUCUUUUGCCCGAGGGUAAAAAAGGCCACGUGUGGCUUCUUGCAAGUAUCGGACGAAUAAGCAUCGGCUAACUCCGUGCCAGCAGCCGCGGUAAUACGGAGGAUGCGAGCGUUAUCCGGAUUUAUUGGGUUUAAAGGGAGCGCAGGCUGAUUAUUAAGCGUGACGUGAAAUCGUGCCGCUCUCCCUUGACAAUUGAUGGAAACUGGUAGUCUUGAGUGAGUUCGAUGUAGGCGGAAUUCGUGGUGUAGCGGUGAAAUGCUUAGAUAUCACGAAGAACUCCGAUUGCGAAGGCAGCCUACAAGCCUUUAACUGACGCUAAAGCUCGAAGGUGCGGGUAUCGAACAGGAUUAGAUACCCUGGUAGUCCGCACGGUAAACGAUGGAUGCCCGCUGUUUGCGAUAUAUUGUAAGCGGCCAAGAGAAAUCGUUAAGCAUCCCACCUGGGGAGUACGCCGGCAACGGUGAAACUCAAAGGAAUUGACGGGGGCCCGCACAAGCGGAGGAACAUGUGGUUUAAU
rnacentral:rRNA from 1 species